GAUCGCUUCAGCAGUACAUACACUAAAAUUGGAACCAUACAGAGAAGAUUAGCAUGGACCCUGCACAAAGAUGAUAUGCAAAUUCGUGAAGCUUUCCAUAUUUUU
ensembl:snRNA U6 U6 spliceosomal RNA